rnacentral:tRNA from 1 species
GGGUCGGUGGCGUAGUUGGUUAUCGCAUCUGUCUAACAGUGGCUUACGUAAGCACACAGAAGGUCCUCAGUUCGAACCUGGGCCGACUCA